GGGGCGAGUGGCCAGGGAGACAAUGCCAACUAGUGAGGGCGUACGCGUGACUAUGAGGUGUAGUUUCCUAUGCGUCCGUUUCAGUGCUAGUUAUGGGUGGGUAGUCAAGCGUCCCGUGGGCUAUGGGUCUCGUUCAGGAGGCGUCCCCCCUCGUUAUCUGUGUCAGGUCAGAACGUGUGCCGCAGCCGCGAGGGUUGGUGUGAAUGUGGGUGGGUGCGUGUGAG